CAAAGGGCAAUGAUCAGAUCUUCCCUCUGGGGGCAGGAAACUGCCAACUCCCUUUUGUCCUCUGGAAAUGACUCAUGGGGAGGGGGAGAGGAGGAACCAGCCAGGUGACAAGAUACUCAGGUUACCUCCACAACUCCUCCCUCGACCCCUCCUUUUUGUGAUGUUUCAAUGAUGUAGUCAUGAUGUAAUUGUGAUGUAGUUCUAGGGGUGUAGUUUGGGGGAUUAGUAACUAAUAAAAGUUGGGGUCUUCCAUUUUGUUUCACCUGGUGGCAGGUGGGAGUCCUGUCGCGACAGUCUUCAAUAAAGACCAAGCCUACUGGCGGCUGUUUUGCUCUGGUACUCCUGGCUGGUGUCCUUGUUUUUUUGUCCAAGGGAGCCCUCAGAUUUCUCCGUUAACAAAGUGAAAUACAGACGAGAUUUGUCUCAUCUCGAUCUCCUUCCUGCAGGGAACAUUGAAGAUGUUGGCGGCAAUUGAUCAGAACUAAGCAAGGAGCCUCUUAAUGGAUCAGCCAGGCUUGUUUACCAGAAUACAGUCGCCUGCUUUGUCCUGCGCAGCUGCAAUUUCACACAUCAGAAAGAACAGUGAGGGAAGAGAUAGGUCAAAUGAACCCGGUCCUGCCUUUGGAAUCGCAUCAGCCACAAACGAC